GACGAACGCUGGCGGCGUGCUUAACACAUGCAAGUCGAACGGAAAGGCCCUGCUUUUGUGGGGUGCUCGAGUGGCGAACGGGUGAGUAACACGUGAGUAACCUGCCCUUGACUUUGGGAUAACUUCAGGAAACUGGGGCUAAUACCGGAUAGGAGCUCCUGCUGCAUGGUGGGGGUUGGAAAGUUUCGGCGGUUGGGGAUGAACUCGCAGCUUAUCAGCUUGUUGGUGGGGUAGUGGCUUACCAAGGCUUUGACGGGUAGCCGGCCUGAGAGGGUGACCGGCCACAUUGGGACUGAGAUACGGCCCAGACUCCUACGGGAGGCAGCAGUGGGGAAUAUUGCACAAUGGGCGGAAGCCUGAUGCAGCAACGCCGCGUGCGGGAUGACGGCCUUCGGGUUGUAAACCGCUUUCGCCUGUGACGAAGCGUGAGUGACGGUAAUGGGUAAAGAAGCACCGGCUAACUACGUG
rnacentral:rRNA from 1 species